CUUGCAUGAUAUGACUUGCCAAAUGCCACAUUAAGAGGCCAAAAGAUUUUCGUAACUUGAUGAUCCAAUUAAGGUUUGCACUAUAACAGUUGCUAUGUGCCCAGAUUCAUUGGAACACUAUUUGAAUACAAGCGGUAUCGCCGCCUCCAGUUGCAUUAACAAUGACAAUGGUUUAAACUUUAUUGAAAUGCGAGUGCAACCACACUUUUUCUUUGGAUUCAUAACAUAGUUCCUGUUACUGUGUCUUUUGAACAGCUAUUUUCCACAUAAUGUUAAGACAAACAGUUAGCAUUAAUAUUGUUA